rnacentral:rRNA from 1 species
CAGCAGCCGCGGUAAUACGAAGGGUGCAAGCGUUAAUCGGAAUUACUGGGCGUAAAGCGUGCGUAGGCGGUUUGUUAAGUCUGCUGUGAAAUCCCCGGGCUCAACCUGGGAAUGGCAGUGGAUACUGGCAAGCUAGGGUGUGUCAGAGGAUGGUGGAAUUCCCGGUGUAGCGGUGAAAUGCGUAGAGAUCGGGAGGAACAUCAGUGGCGAAGGCGGCCAUCUGGGACAACACUGACGCUGAGGCACGAAAGCGUGGGGAGCAAACAGGAUUAGAUACCCCUGUAGUCCCUGUCUCUUAUAC